CCCGUAUUAAAAAAGAAGUCUCCAAACUGGAAACAACUCGAUUAUUGAAUAAGAGAACGAAUUUUAUUAGAUUUUUUAAUUAAUGUUUAUAUCAUUUGAAUAAGAUUUUAUGGUCGUUUAUUUUUCAAAUAUUAUUUAGAUUCGAAUUUUAUCUUUGAAUUACUGUUGUGUGAAUUUGUAAAAUAUUUUUAGGUGAAUAAAGAAAGUAUCGGAGAGGUUCUUUGUUCGAUCUUCUCAUGUGCCUUCCUUCCUUCAUCUCAUCUUAGCCUCUCGCGGUUCAAGCUCUGAGCUCCGAGUUUUCCUCGCUGACCAUGGCUCUUCCGCUCGGGAAGCUGAUCCUCCUCGUCGGCGCGGGUCUUGUUGGCUCAGUUAUUGCUAAAGAAGGUUUCUCAGAUGUUUCAAGUUUCGUUUCGGGUGCAUUCAGGGCAAUUAAAACAAGACGAACCGGCCAAAUCAGCUAAGAUGCCCUUUUGGCACAGGUUAGCAGCCUGAGGCAGGAGUUGCAGUUGAUAGCAUCAAACAGAUCUAUUACCAUUAUUUCUAUGGGUGGAUCAGGUCUCUUCAAUUCCUGCUUUUACGUCGGAGGAAUUAUUUUCCUCUUAUGCACUACUUAUGACCUAGAGGUCAUGGAUUCGAGUCCUGGAAGCAGCCUUUUGUAGAAUAUUCUGCAAGGUGGUAGAAAGUACGGAGUAAUGAUUAUCAUCGUAGUGUUAGGCUGUGGAUACUUGCGGUGGAAGGUAAUAUCAUCACGGUAUUGAACGUUGGCUUGAAGUGUUGGUCACUGAACAAAAAUUUAGAAAAAUUCAAUUUCUCCUCGUGGGUUUUCUUUGCUGAUCUUGUGGUCUGCUUCAUGUUAUUAUCUUCUCCAUUUGCAACUCGUUGGAUAUUAAUUUUCUCGGGAAUGUUGUCAGGGAUGGAAAACUCCGGAUUUUAUGUUUGCAACAAGGCAUAGUUGAUUCGAUGCAUGUAAUACUAUAGCCAAACAGCUUGACGGUGUCUACUCCUCGAUCUCGGCUACAAAACGGGAGUUAUCUUCAAGAAUUGAGAGUGGGCUCUAGCUUAGACGAAAUUGAAGGGAUUACUAAAGAAACAGGAAAAGAGAAUUACCAUCUUGAGCAGACCGCAUCAUUGCCUCCUGCCCAGUCAUCUUCAACUUCUAAUGGAUCCCACAAGGGCGAAACACGAGCUUUGGAAGCCACGAGUAACGGGUCAUCAGCCUCGAGGUCUGGCCUGUUCGGGAUAUUCUCUGCUUCGAGGAUUGAAAGAACGAGAAGUGCCAUCAGACCUCAGUAAGGGUUGGUGUUAGUUUUUUCAGCAGUAGAAGUCGAGACGGAUGGUAUCUGUUAGAGAAUCAACGGUUCAGAUUCGUUUUUAUGGAUCGAAUGGUUUGGAUCGAUUUCAUGGUAUCAACGGUUGAGAGCUAUUAUCCCGAUCGGACGGUGCAGAUGCUUUAUUUUUUAUCGACGGUUCAGAUUAGAUUUAAGAAUCGAACGAUCCAAAUCUUUCUGUUCAUAAUCUACGGUUCAGAUUAUUUAUGUCGAUCCAACGGUUCAGAUCUGAAUUUGAUACCAACGGUUGAUAUUGAAUAUCAAUGAUCUGAUGGUUUAGAUGUCUUGUCCAUGAACCAACGAUGUAGAUUCGUUUUGUCGGAUCCAAUGGUUGCGGUUAAAGUAACACUUGUAAAUCGACGGUCUGACAUUAUAUAAUUAGAAAUCCAACGCAUCAUUCUAUUA